rnacentral:rRNA from 1 species
UGCGUAGGCGGGCUAAUAAGUCAGUGGUGAAAUCUCUCGGCUCAACCGGGAAACUGCCAUUGAUACUGUUAGUCUUGAGUUCGGUUGAGGUAGGCGGAAUGUGUAAUGUAGCGGUGAAAUGCUUAGAUAUUACACAGAACACCAAUUGCGUAGGCAGCUUACUAGACCGACACUGACGCUGAGGCACGAAAGCGUGGGGAGCGAACAGGAUUAGAGACCCGAGUAGUCC